rnacentral:tRNA from 1 species
UACAUACUAGCCGAAUUGGAAUAGGCACUUGACUUAAAAGCAAGAGUUUACGGGUUCAACUCCCGUGUAUGAAUCAA